rnacentral:piRNA from 1 species
UCUCUAAGCGUGGGGAUGGACACCUAGG